UACAGAGGGUGCAAGCGUUGUUCGGAAUUAUUGGGCGUAAAGGGCGCGUAGGCGGUGCGGUAAGUCUGCGGUGAAAUCUCCCGGCUCAACUGGGAGGCUGCCGUGGAAACUGCCGUGCUUGAGUGUGGGAGAGGAGAGUGGAAUUCCCGGUGUAGCGGUGAAAUGCGCAGAUAUCGGGAAGAACACCCGUGGCGAAGGCGGCUCUCUGGGACGGUACUGACGCUGAGACGCGAAAGCGUGGGGAGCGAACAGG
rnacentral:rRNA from 1 species